GACGUAGGGGGCCAGCGUUGCUCGGAAUUACUGGGCGUAAAGGGUUCGUAGGCGGUGUGGCAAGUCGGGAGUGAAAUCUCUGGGCUUAACUCAGAGGCUGCUUCCGAAACUGCCGUGCUAGAGUGCGGGAGAGGCGAGUGGAAUUGCAGGUGUAGCGGUGAAAUGCGUAGAUAUUCGCAAGAACACCAGUGGCGAAGGCGGCUCACUGGCCCGGAACUGACGCUGAGACGCGAAAGCGUGGGGAGCAAACAGG
rnacentral:rRNA from 1 species